rnacentral:rRNA from 1 species
UACGAAGGGGGCUAGCGUUGCUCGGAAUUACUGGGCGUAAAGGGCGCGUAGGCGGCACUGUUAGUCAGGCGUGAAAGUCCUGGGCUCAACCUGGAAACUGCGCUUGAUACGGCAGAGCUAGAGGAUGGAAGAGGGUCGCGGAAUUCCCAGUGUAGAGGUGAAAUUCGUAGAUAUCGGGAGGAACACCAGUGGCGAAGGCGGUUGCCUGGGGCUUUGCUGACGCUGAUGCGCGAAAGCGUGGGGAGCGAUCCGG